rnacentral:RNase_P_RNA from 1 species
GAAGUAAGCCGUUCUAUCGCUCUUGAAUUGUCAGGAGAGGAAAGUCCCGACAACGCAAUGCAUCAUUCUUCCUAACAGGAAGUUAUCCGUGAGGAUAAGUAGUGGUAACAGAAAAUAACCACCGUAUCUUUAUGGUACGGAAAGGGUGAAAAGGUGGGGUAAGAGCCCACCGGUUUUGGCAGCGAUGUCAAAAGCCGUACCACCAAUGAGUUGCAAGUUCGCAUAAACCUGCAUUUGAGGGUUGCAUGUCCAAGCAGGAGGGUAGGACGCUGGAAACAUUAAGUGAUUAAUGUUGUAGAGAAAUGAUAGAAUUCCAUUAUGGAAACAGAAUCGGGCUUACAGGCUUACUUCCUUU